rnacentral:rRNA from 1 species
CCUACGGGUGGCAGCAGUGAGGAAUAGUGGUCAAUGGACGAGAGUCUGAACCAGCCAAGUAGCGUGAAGGAUGACGGCCCGAUGGGUUGUAAACUUCUUUUAUAAAGGAAUAAAACGAGGCACGUGGGCCUUUUUGCAUGUACGUUAUGAAUAAGGAUCGGCUAACUCCGUGCCAGCAGCCGCGGUAAUACGGAGGAUCCGAGCGUUAUCCGGAUUUCUGGGGGUUAAAGGGAGCGUAGAUGGGUUGUUAAGUCAGUUGUGAAAGUUUGCGGCUCAACCGUAAAAUUGCAAUUUAUACUGGCAGUCUUGCGUCCAGUUGAGGUCGGCGGACUUCGUGUUGUAGCGG